GAUGAACGCUAGCGGCAGGCUUAAUACAUGCAAGUCGAGGGGCAGCAGGUCCCGCAGCAAUGCGGGAUGCUGGCGACCGGCAAACGGGUGCGGAACACGUACAGAACCUUCCUUUAAGUGGGGAAUAGCCCGGGGAAACCCGGAUUAAUACCCCGUAACAUAAUGAAGUGGCAUCACUUUAUUAUUAUAGCAGCAAUGCGCUUGAAGAUGGCUGUGCGGCUGAUUAGGUAGUUGGCGGGGUAACGGCCCACCAAGCCUACGAUCAGUAACUGGUGAAGGAGCACGACCAGUCAACCGGGCACUGAGGCACGGGCCCGACUCCUACGGGAGGCAGCAGUAAGGAAUAUUGGGCAAUGGACGCAAGUCUGACCCAGCCAUGCCGCGUGGAGGAUGAAGGUCCUCUGGAUUGUAAACUUCUUUUAUCUGGGAAGAAAUCUAUUUUUUCUAAAGUAGUUGACGGUACCAGAUGAAUAAGCACCGGCUAACUCCGUGCCAGCCGCCGCCGUAA
rnacentral:rRNA from 1 species